CAGCCGCCACGGUAAUACAGAGGGUGCGAGCGUUAAUCGGAUUUACUGGGCGUAAAGCGUGCGUAGGCGGCUUCUUAAGUCGGAUGUGAAAUCCCUGAGCUUAACUUAGGAAUUGCAUUCGAUACUGGGAAGCUAGAGUAUGGGAGAGGAUGGUAGAAUUCCUGGUGUAGCGGUGAAAUGCGUAGAGAUCUGGAGGAAUACCGAUGGCGAAGGCAGCCAUCUGGCCUAAUACUGACGCUGAGGUACGAAAGCAUGGGGAGCAAACAGGAUUAGAUACCCCGGUAGUCCCUGUCUCUUAUAC
rnacentral:rRNA from 1 species